rnacentral:lncRNA from 10 species
GUGUGUGUGUGACAGUGUCUUGUUCUGUUGCCCAGGCUGGAGUGCAGUGGUGCAAUCUCGGCUCACUGCAACCUCUGCCUCCUGGAUUCAAGCAAUUCUCCUGACUCAGCCUCCCAAAUAGCUGGGAUUACAGGCAUGUGCCACCAUGGCCAGCUAACUUUUCUAUUUUUUUGUAGAGACAGUGUUUCGCCACGUUGGCCAGGCUGGUCUCAAACUCGUGGCCUCAAGUGAUCCUGAUGGUAACCAUCUUUGAGGACUGUCUACUCCAUCUCCUCCCACUGAAUGGUUGUUCAUACAAGUUGCUAGAAUAAUUCAAACAACAGCGGGCAAAUAGACCUCAAAGCCAAUACCAAUCCCCAUGCCAGGUGUUGGAAUUUCCCAUCUGUGAGCAAUGGCAAUAAAUGCUGGUGGUUCUGCUCAUUUCAACUCUUCACCCUACACCUUUGUUACUGCUCUGUUUUUUAAGUAUCAGUCUUUCCUCCCCCUAAUUAGUCCAAAAGCUCACAGGACAGGGGCCACCUGUUCUUCUCUUAUGUGACUAAAUUUACCUCGAGUCAGGAUGGUAGGUUCUGAAGGAAGUUGAAUUUGUAUAAAAGUCCGUGCAUUCAUAUUUCUUGAGCACUAACUAAAGGUGUAGAGUUUAGUUAUAGCAGUGAACAAACAAAACCCCCACACUCAUGGAGCUUACACUGUUACUGAGUAAUAAUAAUAACAAUGAUGAUAAUCAUAUCUACUAUGUAUUAAGCACCUAUUCUUUCUCUACCAGAUAUUAUGCCUGUUGUUUGACUUACAUUGUGCUCUUGAUCCUCCCAACAGCUCUAUUGUUGUCUCCAUUUUACAGAGGAAGAAAAUGAGGCUUUAAAAAGAUUAUGUAAUUUUCCCCCAGGCCACAGAGUUUAGUAGUGACAGAGACAGGAUCCAAAUCCAGGACUAUGAGGCUCUAAAAUGAGGUCCAUAACUUCUCUUCUGAUACUAGUUAGCAGAGCAGAAUGUUGAUUCUCAGUGCAGUUUUCAGUUAUCCCAAGAACAUGAUGAUAUUGCCAAAACAAAAAUAGUAGGCAAGCACAUGCAAGUGUGCAUGUGUGUGUGUGGUCACGCACAUGGGUGAAGUGGUUGGUGUUGGGAAGCCUAACAACUCUAACACUAUAAAGCAGUGGUUCCCAAAGGGGUCCAUGAGUCAAAACUAUCUUCAUAACAGUACUAAGACAUGAUUUGCCUUUUUCAUUCUCAUUCUCUCAUGAGUGUACACUGGCAUUUUCCACAGCUCAUAUGAUGUGUUAUAUCACAACACCCUGGAUGCAGAAGCAUAUAUGAGAAUCAAGCCGGCUUCUAAUAAAUCAGACAUUUAAAAGAUUUUCAAAAACUGAAGUCCGUGCCAGGCUUCUCACUAGAUUUUGCUGCUAGUUCUGAAUAUGUAGUUAUUUUUCAUAAAAGUGUUAUUUGUGUUAAUACAUAAUGGAUUUAUUAUUGUUAUUUUUAAUGAAGUAAUGUUCAAAUUUUAAUGAGGUAAUAACUGGUCCGUUUUUCUCAGUCUUAAUUGCUAAUAUGGAAAUUAUUGAUAGAUAUAAUUCAUAUAAGCAAACGCUCAUUGGAAUCCUCAGUAAUUGUUAGAGCAUGAAAAAGAGUCCUGAAACCAAAGAGUUUGAAAAUUGCUGCUGUAGUGUGUUGCAACUGGGAGAAAAAAAAAGUUGGACGCUAAAGAUGUAAGUCUUCUUCCUGAGUUUUGGGGAGCAUUUUCAGAGAUCUAAAGGAGGUGAAAUGAGAUUCUUCAGGGUUAAGAGGAGAGAGCAUCCUGGAACCAUGAAGAAUGCUUUGAAAGUUAGAGUCAAGCUGCAUGUUCUGUUCUCUCCUACCCCCGCAGUCCAGAAGUCCUGGCAGAAGCUUAAAGAUUUGAUUCAGAAAAGAACACAGGCAAAGCAACAUCUGCUUAUCGUCUUGAUUCUCUGGAGCAGUUAAUCCUUGGCUCUGAAUGAAAACUGGGAAAACAGAGGCUUGGAAGCCAGAUGCUACAAAUGAGGAAAUGCAUUGCUUUGUCAUUGCUGAAUGAACCCCCUGUCUUUAACUCCAGCUCCCUGCAUUUGGGGUAAAUAAUCUCACUGAGCAACUUGAUUAGAUCUAAGCCACGCAUUUAGUUUUUCCUAAAACAUUUUUGUCACAGCCGUGAAGAUGUGAACGAAGCAUCUACACAAGUGACUAGGUGUACACAGCCCAGCCUCACCUGAUGUGACCUUCAGUCAGAGAAGCAGAAGAUGCCUACAGACUGGCAAGUGCAUGGAACCAGCCCCAGGCUAAACAGUGACUGCUAAAAGGCUGUUAAGUGUGCAAAGGAGCUCAUCCCUAAAGGUGGGAUUCCAGGCCCUGAGACAAAGUGGAAUAAGGUGAGUCCAGGGAGAAAGGAUUCAUGGCUCAUGAGGAACAAAUCAUUGCUUCCCUGUAGAAAAUGGGCACCAUAGUUCUCUUUGCUGUCACCACUGCCAGCAUCUCCUUUUCCGCUCUUCUUUCCUACUCCUUGCUUGUUUCUUGUUUCCCACUCUAAUUUCAAGGCCAUUUUUUCUUUCUACACUUUUGCUUCCUUUUCUAGGCUUGGGGCCUGGAAUUCAUGGCACUUCUGGAGACAUGAGGUACCUUCAGUUUCAGAAAAUAAGAAGCAUGUGAAUCUCAUCUUGGGCAGAGCCAAAGCAUGCUAAGUGAGAAAUAGUCCUCCCACCAUGUGAGAGUACGCUGGGCUGCCUUUCCAUUUUAAAGAAUUGCCUUGGUGAGAUGUCUUCAGUUCUUCUGGCAAAGCUGUUUGCAUAUUAGCCCUGAAGCUUGUGCAGUGAGGCAGGAUAGAGGAAUGGGAACAGCUGGAGCCAGAGAGACCUGCUGGGAAUCUGGGCUCAGCCACUUUUGACCUGCAUGGUUUCUUGCAAGUCAGCUCAGAGCUGGACCAAAGCAGCUGUCGAUCCUUUGCCUCUUUGCACUUUGGAGCCCAGUCCUGAUGGGACCAGGUGUCAGAGCCCUGCCAAAUCUGUGAGAAGGGUGGAAGCAAGUUUCCCUGAGGGAAAAAAAAACAACAAAAAAAAACCUUCUGGAAUUGGGAAAAAUUUAGGUCAACAUCAUUUGAACCUUGACCUCUUGCUCUUUUGUCCCCGGGUGGACAUUUCCUUGACCUCCAGAAAUUCCUCCACCUCAAGGGAAGACUUCUUGCCCCCCUCACUUCCAGAGGCCUCCAAAGUGGGCUGGGAAGAGAUUUAAAGCAGGACCCUGGGAAGCAUGAUGAGACUCUGGAGUGUAGAGAGGCUUCCCUGCAAUGCAAAGAUCUUCAAAGGCCAAGCCCAAGGCACUGCAACCCCCAGGAGGGCCCACUCCAAAGCAGAACAGUGGAGGGAGAGCCUGCGUGUCAAGAAGCCUGGACAGCAAGACCCCCUACUGUGGCAGCCAGCCUGCUUGUAGGAGUCCUGAGAAGCCUAAUUCAAUUACCCUUAUCAGAAUGUCUCUGAACUUAACAAAGCAGAUAAUGAGUUCCAGAGACAGAUACUGCUUGGGGGGCCAAAAUUAUUUUGCUUCCCCAAAUUGGAGGCUGAAAUUGGAGAUGUUUGAAUAAUGGAAAACAUAAUCCUUCCCUAGGCCCAACCCCCUCCCAGUACCCACACCUGAGACACCCUUUCAACCAAGGAGCCUGGAUUCAACAUCCAUGCCGUCUCUCCUCCUGAAGACACCUGGUCAUGAACUCGACCUCUUUCCCCCACCAUCUUUGUGCCAUCGAUGGAAGGAAGCUGCGUACAGGAUGGAAGUGGGAGGGGAAAGGGAUUAACAUUUAUGGAGCCCUCCCCUCUAUGUGUCAGCUACAUAACACAUAGCAUUCAUUUCAACCACAGAACAUAUGUCUUUACAUUACAGAAGGCAACGGAGAACUGGAAAAGUUAACUUACUGCCUGAGGACCCAUCCCCAUCUCACCAGCAGCACAGUCAGAUUCAGACACAGGUAUUCAACUUUGCAACACACUGUGCCUCACGGCCUGUGUGCUCAACAUCAGAAAUCAAAUAGAAACUCCCUCAUUCUAAGAUUCAUAGCCAUCCUCCGAGAUAUGACAUAGCGACCUCUCCUCCGUGAACAGGGAAACAGACUGAGAGGAUAACCUAACUCUCCCAAGGCCAGAGUAUCCACUGGGAUAUGCAGCCAAGUCAGCCAGCAGUUGAAACAAGGGCUCUCUGUGCUAUCUCACAUCUGAAUUGAAUUGUUUCCUACAGACUUCUCAUAGCUCUCUAGGCAAGGAAUACAUCUUCUCACCUUCCCACACUAAGAAAGGCCUCUGUCUGAGCCUGGGUGCCGGGUGGCCAGGAUUCCUGCUGAACGUUCAGGAGCUUUCCAUCUCCAGAGGUGAGCUCCUAGUUCCUGCUUACCUUAGAACUGUAGAACAUAUAAUGUUACCACUGAAAAGAACCUCUCGUAUAGUUGGAUCACACCCUUUACCUAUUUAUUUAAAUGUACUGUUUUAAUUAUGUAACAUUUGAUAUGUGCAGGAUAAUAUGUAUGCAAAUUAUAAAGCAUAAUAAUAAAACCUGUGAACCCACCACUCAACCUUAGAACCAGACCAUUACAAUUGAUGUCCCUCCUACUUCCCCAACAGAAAUAACCACUGUCCGGGACUUUAUGUUUAUAGCCCCACCCCCCACAAUGAUUUUUAUAGUUUUGCCAAAUAUGUUAGCAUGGUAGAUUGCAUUAUUGCUCUGAGUUAAAUAUCCUUCCUUUGACAUAUAAUUUGGCAGUUCCUUCCAUUGGAAGUGAAAUACAUUUCUCUGCCCAAGAUGUUAGAUUUGCUUUGGUCAGUAGAAUGUUGCAGGCUGUGACGGUGAAAAUUCUGAGCCCAGGCCUUAAGAGGAAUCACCUGUUUCCACAUUCCCCACUUGUAUUUCUGCCUCUGCCAUGAGAAAAACAUGCUUCAGGUCACCUGCUGCUCCAAGGAGGAUGAGAGACCUAUGGGGAAGACCUGGACCCAAUCUGAAGUUAGAACUAAGUGCAACUGAGCCCAGCCUGGAUUAACCAACUCCCAGCCAAUCCACAGACACCUGGGUAAGAAUACAUGAAUGUUGUCAGCCACUGAGUUUUGGAGUCAUUUGUUAGGCAGCAUUAUUGUGGCAAUAGCUGACUGAUAUACUAUGUAUCCCUGAACAGCAUAUUGUUUACUUUUGCUUUUUUUUUUAGCUUUGAAAGAUGGUAAUUAAUAUUGCAUGUCAUUAUCUAAUAUUUACUUUUCUUUCCCACUCAACAUGAUAUGUCUGAGAUCUAUGCAGUAGAAUAUAAUACAGCAGUAUAAAUGAACUACAGCAGCAGCCCUCUCAGUUUAGAGAUGAGGAAAAGCAAAAGACCCGGAGAGUUCAUGAAGGGCUGAACUGGCUUGGAAGCCCAAGUGUCAUUCCUUCAGCAGAUAUUUAUUGAACAUAAACUGAGCACUCACCUCAGUGCUAAGAAUAUAAAGGGGAACUGGACACAUAAGGUUCUUGUCCUCUUGAGUUACAGAGGUCAUUUCAUAGAAAGAAUGCAAGGCCACAUCUGUGCCCCCUAUCAUAUCAUUGCCAAGGUUUCCUUAUUGCCUCUGCCCUGCCUGCUGUUUCCCCCAUUCAGUUCACCACCUCCUGUCCCUGGAGGCAAUAAUGUAAUUAAGGCAGUAUGUGAAGACAGCACGCAGAAACUGUGAUGUGGAUAGCUCUCCUUGGAGAUCUGCUGGCAGACUGACUUCCAGGAAAAAGAGCCAAAGUACUUGGGAAAUGCAGACCCAAGGACUGAUCACUUUUGGGAGGUAGGUUUAUUUUUCUGCAGAUGACACUUGUCUAGAGGGAACUGGCAGUUUUCUGACUAGAGAUGGCCCUGUAGUGAGCUUAGCAGCUCCAUGGACUUAGUACCUGGGUGACCACCGUCAGCAGAGAAGCAUGUUUGGAAGACAGAGAACCAAUGAGGGAUGUUUCACACUCUUGAGGAGUUUGCCGUCAAAAAGCAAAGCAGGAUAAGCAAAAAAUGCAUGUCCUCAAACCCCAGAUAACAAACACAAAACAUCAUAGAUAGAACCAGAGCUGAGGUAGAUACACAUGGAUUCACCAUAUGCAGGUACAUGUAGAUUAGGAUGGAUGUCAGGACGUCCAGAGUGGCUGAAAUGACUGCUCCAUACUGUCAUUCCAUAGACAGGUGUCUUUUGUUUCUCUAGAGCAUUUGAGUAGUUCCCAUGAGUUGCCAUUUAUUUCGUGCUUUGGAAAAACACAGUAAGAAUCCCUUCACAUUGAAACUAGACUGAACACAACCGCAUACUCCUCAAUGAUUCAGAAGGCGUUCCAGGGCGUUGCAGGCCCUCAGGGACAUCAUUAGGAAAAUAGGUUACUGUAGAAACUGAAGGAACAGCAUCCUGAUAAUAUGAGGUUUCACAGUGAUUGGGUCCUGGAUAAAGAAGUUAUUUUCGGUAAUGAAG